UCAAUCUCGAGGUGGGCUUAGAGGCAGCCACCCCGCAAAGGAAAGCGUAACAGCUCAUUGAUUUAGCCGUGGUUGACCCAAAAUGUAACGAGUCUUAAGAAAGAAACCGAAGCUAUAGAUAUAUCAUUAAUUGAUACAAAGGUUAAUAACCUUAAGUCUUUUCUAUGAUAUGUGGUAGGGGAGCGUUGUGUAUAUC
rnacentral:rRNA from 1 species